AACGAACGCUGGCGGCGUGGAUAAGACAUGCAAGUCGAACGCUCAUUGCAGGGUAGCAAUAUCAUGCAGUGGGAGUGGCGCAAGGGUGCGUAACACGUGGGUAAUCUGCCAUAAAGUUUGGGAUAACUCGCUGAAAGGCGAGCUAAUACCGGAUGUGAGAUUGUGAAGGCAUCUUUAUAUUCUCAAAGCUGGGGACCGCAAGGCCUGGCGCUUUUUGAUGAACCCGCGGCCUAUCAGCUAGUUGGUGAGGUAACGGCCCACCAAGGCUAAGACGGGUAGCUGGUCUGAGAGGACGACCAGCCACACUGGAACUGAGACACGGUCCAGACACCUACGGGUGGCAGCAGUCGAGUAAUUUUUCACAAUGGGCGAAAG
rnacentral:rRNA from 1 species